GACGAACGCUGGCGGCGUGCUUAACACAUGCAAGUCGAACGGAAAGGCCCUGCUUUUGUGGGGUGCUCGAGUGGCGAACGGGUGAGUAACACGUGAGUAACCUGCCCUUGACUUUGGGAUAACUUCAGGAAACUGGGGCUAAUACCGGAUAGGAGCUCCUGCUGCAUGGUGGGGGUUGGAAAGUUUCGGCGGUUGGGGAUGGACUCGCGGCUUAUCAGCUUGUUGGUGGGGUAGUGGCUUACCAAGGCUUUGACGGGUAGCCGGCCUGAGAGGGUGACCGGCCACAUUGGGACUGAGAUACGGCCCAGACUCCUACGGGAGGCAGCAGGGGGGAAUAUUGCACAAUGGGCGGAAGCCUGAUGCAGCAACGCCGCGUGCGGGAUGACGGCCUUCGGGUUGUAAACCGCUUUCGCCUGGGACGAAGCGUGAGUGACGGGAAUGGGUAAAGAAGCACCGGCUAACUACG
rnacentral:rRNA from 1 species